rnacentral:rRNA from 1 species
CCUGAACGCUGGCGGCGUGGCUAAGACAUGCAAGUCGCACGGACCCGCAAGGGUUAGUGGCGAACGGGUGAGUAAUGAAUCGCUAAUGUACCCCGGACUCUGGGAUAGCCUUCCGAAAGGGAGGGUAAUACCAGAUGAUAUAACCUUGUCGCAUGACAGAGUUCUCAAAGGUCCGCCGGUCUGGGAGCAGGCGAUUUCGUAUCAGCUAGUUGGUGAGGUAACGGCUCACCAAGGCGACGACGCGUAGCCGGACUGAGAGGUUGGCCGGCCACAUUGGGGACUGAGACACUGCCCAGACUCCUACGGGGGGCUGCAGUAACGAAUCUUCCGCAAUGUACGAAAGUAUGACGGAGCGACGCCGCGUGUAGGACGAAGCCCCUCGGGGUGUAAACUACUGUCAGGGGGUUAGAAAGUUCUGAUCAACCCCAGAGGAAGGCACGGCUAACUCUGUGCCAGCAGCCGCGUAA